UGUGUUGCACAAAUCCUAUUAAAUCUCAGAAAACAUAGCUUUUUAAAACAAAAGCACAACUGUUUUAAAACUUAAAUUAGAAUAGUUUUUUGGUGAAUUCUGUCUUCUCAGAUAAGUAAACACAAUAAAACCACAUUAGUAUGUAGUAUGAAAGCAUAUGAGUAGCAAUAUUUAAUUUGAAAUGUAAUGUGGUAAAAUGGCAAUGUAUUUCUGUAUUUAAAUGGACAUUUUCCAUACCACUAGCAUACAUUCAGACAAAAUUCAAGUAUGUAAUGAAGGCAGAUCCUAUGGCCACGUUCACACUGUCAGUUUUUGGGAUUGACAACCACAUUUACUUACAGGUGUGAGUCUUGAAAUGUCUCGUUCACACAGCAACUUACAGUAACGUCUGGAACACUGUCUGUAUGAACGUGCAACGAGACUCAAGCCCGUAUUCUCUUACUAGUAACCAUAACGACAGUGACCAACGUAAUAUUAAAGAUGGCGACGUCCAUAAAACUGAAAAGUAUUAUCACUUUUGACAUGACAGGAGACUAACUGAACGGCGAGUUCAUCCAUUUAAACUUUAUUAACCAACAGCAGCAUGUAAACGCGCUGGCCAGAGUCUAGCACACGUGUCUUUGCACACGCAUGUCAUGUUCUUUGCGACGUCUCGCGCAUGACACGGCAUUUGAAUUUGGAAAAGAAACACAAAACUGCUCCGGUGGAGAACAGUGACUGGAUCCAGCACCUUCAGAUGACACACAGCUCACAUCUUUGUCGCACAGAUCCAGUUUGACAUAUUGCAGUUGCAGAUCAUACAGUUUGCAGCAUGAGAUGAGAGAUGACACUAACAGAAGACACUGACACAUUUUGACCAUAAAGGACCAAUGGUGUAUGCUUGGAGACGAGGUUUGUGAGGUCUUCCAAGUUUCCAUGUUUUACAAAGAUUUUGAGCCGAUGGGUACCUGUUUUUUAAUUUCCUGUCAAGGACCAUGCUGGGAUUCCUCACAAAUUCAAUAAGAGCAAAAUAACCCUGUGUGAUAAACAUCAAAGCUGCCACAUUUAAAAAGGAAGGACCAUAUGAUGAAAGCACAGGGUAGGUUUGCAUGCCUCAACAACAAUGAAAAGAGCAUUUUUGUUGUGCAGUUUGAUUAUAUGAAGUAGAUAGUAGUAAGUAUUAUUAACUUCCACUACUGAGUAAUGUUGCACAGAUGACCUGCAAUUGCAAUUGAUGUUUUUCUCUCAUAUAUAUAUAUAUAUACACACACACACACACACACACACACAUACUCACCGGCCACUUUAUUAGUUACUAGAGCUGUCAAUCGAUUAAAAAAAAGAAAAAAAAACAGAUUAAUCACACAUUUUUUCUGUGAUUAAUCGCGAUUAAUUGCAAUUAAAAACACUUACGUUUUUAUGUUUUUAAUAUAUUUUAUAAUGUAAUAUUUAUUUAUU